GGAGUUAGCCGGUGCUUCUUCUGCGAGUAACGUCACAGAUGUAAGGUAUUAACUUACACCCUUUCCUCCUCGCUGAAAGUGCUUUACAACCCGAAGGCCUUCUUCACACACGCGGCAUGGCUGCAUCAGGGUUUCCCCCAUUGUGCAAUAUUCCCCACUGCUGCCUCCCGUAGGAGUCUGGGCCGUGUCUCAGUCCCAGUGUGGCUGAUCAUCCUCUCAGACCAGCUAGGGAUCGUCGCCUAGGUGAGCCUUUACCUCACCUACUAGCUAAUCCCACCUGGGCUUAUCCAUCAGCGCAAGGCCCGAAGGUCCCCUGCUUUCCCCCGUAGGCGUAUGCGGUAUUAGCAGUCGUUUCCAACUGUUAUCCCCACAAAUGGGCAAAUUCCCAGGCAUUACUCACCCGUCCGCCGCUCGUCAUCUUCAAAAGCAAGCUUUUGAAAUGUUACCGCUCGACUUGCAUGUGUUAGGCCUGCCGCCAGCGUUCAAUCUGAACCAAGAUCAAAUUCUGA
rnacentral:rRNA from 1 species